rnacentral:rRNA from 1 species
GAUGAACGCUGGCGGCGUGCCUAAUACAUGCAAGUCGAGCGAACAGACGAGGAGCUUGCUCCUCUGACGUUAGCGGCGGACGGGUGAGUAACACGUGGAUAACCUACCUAUAAGACUGGGAUAACUUCGGGAAACCGGAGCUAAUACCGGAUAAUAUAUUGAACCGCAUGGUUCAAUAGUGAAAGACGGUUUUGCUGUCACUUAUAGAUGGAUCCGCGCCGCAUUAGCUAGUUGGUAAGGUAACGGCUUACCAAGGCAACGAUGCGUAGCCGACCUGAGAGGGUGAUCGGCCACACUGGAACUGGGACGCGGUCCAGGCUCCUAAGGGAGGCAGCAGUAGGGAAUCUUCCGCAAUGGGCGAAAGCCUGACGGAGCGACGCCGCGGGAGUUGUGAAGGUCUUCGGAUCGUAAAACCCUGUUAUUAGGUAAGAACAAAUGUGUAAGUAACUAUGCACGUCUUGACGGUAACUAAUCAGAAAGCCACGGCUAACUACGUG